UACCAGCACCCCGAGUGGUCGGGACGAUUAUUGGGCCUAAAGCAUCCGUAGCCGGUUCUACAAGUCUUCCGUUAAAUCCACCUGCUCAACAGUUGGGCUGCGGAGGAUACUAUAGAGCUAGGAGGCGGGAGAGGCAAGCGGUACUCAGUGGGUAGGGGUAAAAUCCGUUGAUCCAUUGAAGACCACCAGUGGCGAAGGCGGCUUGCCAGAAUGCGCUCGACGGUGAGGGAUGAAAGCUGGGGGAGCAAACCGG
rnacentral:rRNA from 1 species